rnacentral:misc_RNA from 1 species
UAAAACACUUCAAGAAGCUGGAAAGCUUGAAAAUUAUGAUGCUCUUGCUUGCAAGAAGAAAAUUGAGGAAUCUAUGGACGAAUCUAGGUCCAGCUCCAGCUCAAAAGGUCCUGGCAGGUUCCCUGAGGACAAUAGACGGCAAGCAGAUUCAGAAAUCCGAAGUUUAUCUACCAGAAAUACAAAAGUUAGGACUGCAAACAUUGAGGAGUUUACACAACCAAAGAAAGGAUUGCUUCCUAAUCCAGGGCCUAAGUUUGGGGAUAGUAGAUCGAGA